UACGAAGGGGGCUAGCGUUGUUCGGAAUCACUGGGCGUAAAGCGCACGUAGGCGGUUCGUUAAGUCAGAGGUGAAAGCCUGGAGCUCAACUCCAGAACUGCCUUUGAUACUGGCGAGCUCGAGUAUGACAGAGGUUGGUGGAACUCCGAGUGUAGAGGUGAAAUUCGUAGAUAUUCGGAAGAACACCAGUGGCGAAGGCGGCCAACUGGGUCAUUACUGACGCUGAGGUGCGAAAGCGUGGGGAGCAAACAGG
rnacentral:rRNA from 1 species